GUUCCCUUAACUCAGGGGUAGAGUGUCUGUUUGAAGAGCAGAAAGCGAUGGUUCGAAUCCAUCAGGGAACACCA
rnacentral:tRNA from 1 species